UUUGUUCUUUUUCUUUUAGCUACCAGAGUUCCACCCAAAGUACAAACGGUCAAGUAGUCAGUCGAAGCAAAGGCUGAGGGAAGUAGCAUGACUAUAAAGGUACACCUUUACUUUUGCCCAUUACUUUUGUUAUUCAUAAUGAUAAUACUAACACUUCGAUUUUUUGAUUCAUGAUGCUCGAUAACCUCCCCCUACUCCUCAAAAAAUCAAAACGAAAGUAGCUGGAGUUCCUGUGGGGAUAGAGUCAGACGAAG
rnacentral:lncRNA from 1 species